rnacentral:rRNA from 1 species
CGGGAAUUCGAUUAGAGUUUGAUCCUGGCUCAGGACGAACGCUGGCGGCGUGCCUAAUACAUGCAAGUCGAACGAACCGCGACUGAGUGCUUGCACUUGGUCAAGGUGAGUGGCGAACGGGUGAGUAACACGUGGGUAACCUACCUCAUAGUGGGGGAUAACAGUCGGAAACGACUGCUAAUACCGCAUAGGACAUGGAAUCACAUGAUUCUGUGAGGAAAGGUGGCGCAAGCUAUCGCUAAGAGAUGGACCCGCGGUGCAUUAGCUAGUUGGUAGGGUAAAGGCCUACCAAGGCGAUGAUGCAUAGCCGACCUGAGAGGGUGAUCGGCCACAUUGGGACUGAGACACGGCCCAAACUCCUACGGGAGGCAGCA